rnacentral:rRNA from 1 species
CGAGGACGAACGCUGGCGGCGUGCCUAACACAUGCAAGUCGAACGGGGCAAUUUCUUCGGAGAUUGCUUAGUGGCGAACGGGUGAGUAACGCGUGAGGAACCUGCCUUCCAGUGGGGGACAACAGUUGGAAACGACUGCUAAUACCGCAUAACGCAGCUAGAUCGCAUGAUCUUACUGCCAAAGCUUUAUGUGCUGGAAGAUGGCCUCGCGUCUGAUUAGCUAGUUGGUGGGGUAACGGCCCACCAAGGCGACGAUCAGUAGCCGGUCUGAGAGGAUGAACGGCCACAUUGGGACUGAGAUACGGCCCAGACUCCUACGGGAGGCAGCAGUGGGGAAUAUUGCACAAUGGGGGAAACCCUGAUGCAGCGACGCCGCGUGAGUGAAGAAGUAUUUCGGUAUGUAAAGCUCUAUCAGCAGGGAAGAAAAUGACGGUACCUGACUAAGAAGCCCUGGCUAACUACGUG